ACAAGCAACACGUCGGAGGAUUUCAACGUACAGGAACACCCAAUUGAACUUGGCAUCGUCAAAUCGUAAAUGUUUGAGCCGAUCAGGAGUUCGGAACAGACUGCACUCCUGCCUUGCCUCCCUGCUUCCCUGCGCUUGGGUCCUCCACGUUUUUCCUUGCCUUCAAAAACCCAAACCAUGACAGAAUGAACCGACCCGAACAGGACCAAGCGGCGUCACCCUGCACGCCCUCAGCCUGCCAACCAUACCUACUCCCCUACAAUGUUUGGACUUUUGUUGAGGUCUCGUGGAUGACGCAGUCUACAUCGGACUGCACUUCAUCCUGGAACACUUUGAUGGCACAGGGACCUAUGCGAGCAUCCUUUUCGUGGACUUAAGCUCUGCAUUCAACUCCGUUAUCCUCAAACUCUUCUAGCUCAGCAUCUCGCCUGCCAUCUGCUAGCGGAUCUACAGCUUCCUAAGUGGCAGGACACAGCAAGUGAGGCUACUACCUCAUCCACACGCACCAUGAGCGCUGGGAGCCCCUCCCCCAGGAUGUGUCCUCUCUGCUGCUUUUCUUUCUACACGAACGACUGCACCUCAAUGCACCUGGCUGUCAAAGUUACAGGAGUACAGUCAUCGGCCUCAUCAAAGACGGUGACGAGUCUGCGUAUUGACAGGAAGCUUGGAGCUGAACACGCUCAAGAUGGUAGAGAAGAUCGUGGACCUCAGGAAACAUCCUUCCCCAUGCCUAUCACGCUGACCAACUGCCCUGUGUCAACUGUCGAGACCUUCAAGUACCUGGGAAUUACAGUCUGUCAGGCCUUAAAGUAGGAGACCAACAUCAACUCCAUCCUCAAAAAGGCCCAGCAGAGGAUGUACUUCCUGCGGCUUUUGAGGAAGCACAGCCUGUCACAGGAGCUGUUGAGGCAGUUUUAAACAGGAGUCAUUGAUUCGGUUCUGUGUUCACCCAGAGUCUGGUUUGAUGGUGCCUCAAAGGUCAAAAUCCGAUGGCAAUGGACAGUCAAGUCUCCUGAAAAACCGAACGGUACCGACCUUACCCACUCUUGAGGAAGUGCAUGCUGCCAGAACUAAGACAAGGGCAUGUAAAAUCCUCUUGGACCCUCCACAUCCAAGUCACCACUUAUUCCAGCUCCUUCCCUCAGGUAGGCUCUAUCGAACAUCCAUCCAGUCUCUCCACUGCUUAUCCUCACUAGGGUCGCGGGCGUGCUGGAGCCUAUCCCAGCUAUUUUCGGGCAGGAGGCGGGAUACACCCUAACUGCUUGCCAGCCAAUCGCAGGGCACGUAUAAACAACCAUUCAUACCUAUGGAUAAUUUAGAGUCAAUUAACCUAUCAUGGAUGUUUUUGGGAUGUGGGAGGAAACCGAAGUACCUGGAGAAAACCUAUGCAGGCACGCGGAGAACGUGCACACUCGACAGAGGCGAGGCUGGAUUUGUACCCGGGUCCUCAGAACUGUGAGCCAGAUGUACUUACCAGUCAUUCACCGUUCCGCCCGCUAUCAAACAAUGCAAACUAAAACUAGCAGACAUUCCAUCAACCUCUUAAACAGUUGACUUACAAUUUCAUUUACUGGCUGCCAAAUUUGCACAUCUCUGUUGGAACAAUUCUACAUUAUUCAUGCACUCACUGUUUUAUCACGCUGCACUAUUUGCAUACUGUUGUUGAUUACUACGUGUUUGAGAACUUUGCACCAGCAUCACUGUACCAGAUCAUUGCAUUAUUCCUCACUUUAAAUUGCUCUAAAUUGCUUGAGGACUGCAUCAUUUGCACAAUGCCAUUAUAUCAGCGUCACCACACCGGUGGUACACUUUCAUUGCUCAAUGACUCUCCAUACUCAUGUUUUUUAUGUCCUAAAUGUACAGUAUAUUUUGUCAUAGUGGUUGUCAUACUAGAGUGGCUCCAACGACCGGAGACAAAUUCCUUGUGUGUCUAAAAUACUUGGCCUAUAAAGCUGAUUCUAAUUCUGAUAAUUUAUGUGCUGGGCCUCCAUAAGUUGAAGCAAGCUGCCGACCACCGAGCCAUAUGGAAGUGUCUGCAUGAGUCAGGGAACCAACUAAAAUGAGCUGAUUUCAGCAAGACAAGAAAGUGUAGUUAUAUAUAAUUCUUGAUCCAUGUAACAUUUGUGGCUGCAUCAGAGUGGGUACCACCUGUGGCUGAGCUAGAAACCCAAAUUAUGUAAAAAUAAACAAAUAAAUACUUUCAAUU